rnacentral:rRNA from 1 species
GACGAACGCUGGCGGCGUGCUUAACACAUGCCAGUCGAACGGAAAGGCCCUGCUUGCAGGGUGCUCGAGUGGCGAACGGGUGAGUAACACGUGGGUGAUCUGCCCCUUACUUUGGGAUAAGCCUGGGAAACUGGGUCUAAUACUGGAUAGGACCAUGCUGUAGGUGGUGUGGUGGAAAGAUUAGUUUCGGUAAGGGAUGAGCUCGCGGCCUAUCAGCUUGUUGGUGGGGUAAUGGCCUACCAAGGCGUCGACGGGUAGCCGGCCUGAGAGGGUGGACGGCCACAUUGGGACUGAGAUACGGCCCAGACGCCUACGGGAGGCAGCAGUGGGGAAUAGUGCACAAUGGGCGCAAGCCUGAUGCAGCGACGCCGCGUGGGGGAUGACGGCCUUCGGGUUGUAAACUCCUUUCAGCCAUGACGAAGCCCUUGUGGUGACGGUAGUGGUAGAAGAAGCACCGGCUAACUACGUG